rnacentral:rRNA from 1 species
AUUGAACGCUGGCGGCAGGCCUAACACAUGCAAGUCGAACGGUAACAGGAAGCAGCUUGCUUCUUUGCUGACGAGUGGCGGACGGGUGAGUAAUGUCUGGGAAACUGCCUGAUGGAGGGGGAUAACUACUGGAAACGGUAGCUAAUACCGCAUAACGUCGCAAGACCAAAGAGGGGGACCUUCGGGCCUCUUGCCAUCGGAUGUGCCCAGAUGGGAUUAGCUAGUAGGUGGGGUAACGGCUCACCUAGGCGACGAUCCCUAGCUGGUCUGAGAGGAUGACCAGCCACACUGGAACUGAGACACGGUCCAGACUCCUACGGGAGGCAGCAGUGGGGAAUAUUGCACAAUGGGCGCAAGCCUGAUGCAGCCAUGCCGCGUGUAUGAAGAAGGCCUUCGGGUUGUAAAGUACUUUCAGCGGGGAGGAAGGGAGUAAAGUUAAUACCUUUGCUCAUUGACGUUACCCGCAGAAGAAGCACCGGCUAACUCCGUGCCAGCAGCCGCGGUAAUACGGAGGGUGCAAGCGUUAAUCGGAAUUACUGGGCGUAAAGCGCACGCAGGCGGUUUGUUAAGUCAGAUGUGAAAUCCCCGGGCUCAACCUGGGAACUGCAUCUGAUACUGGCAAGCUUGAGUCUCGUAGAGGGGGGUAGAAUUCCAGGUGUAGCGGUGAAAUGCGUAGAGAUCUGGAGGAAUACCGGUGGCGAAGGCGG